UAGUGUAUUGGACUACCAUGGCAGUCACGGGUAACGGAGAAUUAGGGUUCGAUUCCGGAGAGGGAGCCUGAGAAACGGCUACCACAUCUACGGAAGGCAGCAGGCGCGAAAAUUGCCCAAUCCUGACUCAGGGAGGCAGUGACAAGAUAUAACAACUCUCGACUUUGUUGAGAAGUGUAAUGAGGAUAAUUUACAAACCUUACCGAAAGCAAUUGGAGGGCAAGUCUGGUGCCAGCAGCCGCGGUAAUUCCAGCUCCAAUAGCGUAUAUUAAAGUUGUUGCAGUUAAAAAGCUGGUAGUUGAAAUUCUGGCUGUAUUGGGUCUCUGCACUAGAUGCGAAGGUACCAGCAGCCAUCCGCCUGCAAUUACAUGUCCUUCCUUAACCGGUAGGCUGUAUGAGCAGGCAAUUUUCCUUGAGAAAAACAGAGUGCUCCAGGCAGGUUUGUCCGGAAUGCAUUAGCAUGGAAUAAUAGAAUAUGACUGAAGUCGAUUUAUUGGUUUGAGGCUUUAGUAAUGAUUAAUAGGAACAGUCGGGGGCAUUAGUACUUGUCAGUCAGAGGUGAAAUUCUAGGAUUUGACAAAGACUAACUGAUGCGAAAGCGUUUGCCAAGGAUGUUUUCUUUUUUAUGAACGAAAGUUAGGGGAUCAAAGACGAUC
rnacentral:rRNA from 1 species